rnacentral:rRNA from 1 species
CAGUCGCCGCGGGAAUACGGAGGGGGCUAGCGUUGUUCGGAAUUACUGGGCGUAAAGCGCACGUAGGCGGCUUGGUAAGUUAGAGGUGAAAGCCUGGAGCUCAACUCCAGAAUUGCCUUUAAGACUGCCGAGCUAGCAGGUGAGAGAGGUAAGUGGAAUUCCGAGUGUAGAGGUGAAAUUCGUAGAUAUGCGGAGGAACACCGAUGGCGAAGGCAGCCCCCUGGGCCAAUACUGACGCUCAUGCACGAAAGCGUGGGGAGCAAACAGGAUUAGAUACCCCCGUAGUCCCUGUCUCUUAUAC